UGAUAUUCCUGUACUACCGAUAACCGUUUGAGAGAAGGGAUGACACAGUAGGAUAAGCUAAGCACACUGUUGGUUAUGUGUGCCCAAGCAUUGAGGCAGUCAAAGUAGGCAAAUCCGCUUUGAUAAUGCUGGGAUGUGAUGGGGAGCGAAAUUUAGUAGCGAAGUAGCUGAUUUCACACUGUCAAGAAAAGUCUCUAUCGAGGUUAAAGGUACCCGUACCGCAAACCGACACAGGUGGGUGAGGAGAGUAUCCUAAGGCCAGCGAGAGAACUGUUGUUAAGGAACUCGGCAAAAUGACCCCGUAACUUAGGGAUAAGGGGUGCCACCAUCAGGUGGCCGCAGAGAAUAGGCCCAAGCGACUGUUUACCAAAAACAUAGGUUUCUGCUAAGUCGCAAGACGAUGUAUAGGAGCUGACGCCUGCCCGGUGCUGGAAGGUUAAGGGGAUCUGUUAGAGCAAUCGAAGCAGUGAACUUAAGCCCCAGUAAACGGCGGCCGUAACUAUAACGGUCCUAAGGUAGCGAAAUUCCUUGUCGGGUAAGUUCCGACCCGCACGAAAGGCGUAACGAUUUGGGCACUGUCUCAACAACAGACUCGGUGAAAUUGUAAUUCCGGUGAAGAUGCCGGAUACCUGCGACAGGACGGAAAGACCCCAUGGAGCUUUACUGUAGCUUGACAUUGGGUCUUGGUACUACAUGUACAGGAUAGGUGGGAGGCUUUGAAACCAGGACGCCAGUUUUGGCGGAGCCAUCCUUGGGAUACCACCCUUGUAGUACUGGGACUCUAACCAUAGGCCAUGAAUCUGGUCUUGGGACACUGUCAGGUGGGCAGUUUGACUGGGGCGGUCGCCUCCCAAAAGG
rnacentral:rRNA from 1 species